ACCCUCUGUUUCCCUUUCCCAUUGGAUCAAAUGGUGGUCAUUAAUGAGGUAGUACCCUGAAGUGGGCAUCACAAAACAGAACAGAAGGCCAGAUUAAAAAAUGC
rnacentral:snoRNA from 1 species